rnacentral:pre_miRNA from 1 species
AACUACACUAUCAAUGAAUGGGUCCAUCCGUGAAAUGACGUGAUGUUACAUGUGGAUUUGGGAGCUUCAUCCUAGGUGGAACAUUCAUGAUGCUUUGUAGAUAAAGAAUCAUGUUAUCUUACAGGUGGAACUAUUAUUUGAUAUCGUGGUU